UACGUAGGAGGCGAGCGUUGUCCGGAGUUACUGGGCGUAAAGGGUGCGCAGGCGGCGGUUCGCGUGGCGAGAUGAAAUCUCCUGGCUUACCUGGGAGGAUGGUCGCCAGACGGGAUCGCUUGAGGGUCGGAGAGGGGCGUGGAAUUCCGGGUGGAGCGGUGAAAUGCGUAGAGAUCCGGAGGAACACCGACGGCGUAGGCAGCGCCCUGGACGACACCUGACGCUGAGGCACGAAAGCAUGGGGAGCAAACAGG
rnacentral:rRNA from 1 species